UGAGCAGUGGUCGUUUAUCUCCAUCUGCCUUCUCUUCCACCUAAAUGCGUGUCACCACCCAAUGGAAGAUUUGAUGGACAUGGACAUGAGCCCCCUGAGGCCCCAGAACUAUCUUUUCGGUUGUGAACUAAAGGCUGACAAAUGUUAUCACUUUAAGGUCGAUAAUGAUGAAAAUGAGCACCAGUUAUCUUUAAGAACAGUCAGUUUAGGAGCUGGUGCAAAGGAUGAGUUGCACAUUGUUGAAGCAGAGGCAAUGAAUUACGAAGGCAGUCCAAUUAAAGUAACACUGGCAACUUUGAAAAUGUCUGUACAGCCAACGGUUUCCCUUGGGGGCUUUGAAAUAACACGACCAGUGGUCUUACGAUUGAAGUGUGGUUCAGGGCCAGUGCAUAUCAGUGGACAGCACUUAGUAGCUGUGGAGGAAGAUUCAGAGUCAGAAGAUGAGGAGGAGGAGGAUGUGAAACUCUUAAGUAUGUCUGGAAAGCGGUCUGCCCCUGGAGGUGGUAGCAAGGUUCUACAGAAAAAAGUAAAACUUGCUGCUGCUGCUGCUGCUGAUGAUGAAGAUGAUAAUGAUGAUGAUUUCGAUGAUGAGGAAACUGAAGAAAAAGUGCCAGUGAAGAAAUCUAUAUGCAUACUCCAGCCAAAAAUGCACAAAAGUCAAAUCAGAAUGGAAAAGACUCAAAACCAUCAUCAACACCAAGAUCAAAGGGACAAGGAUCUUUCAAGAAACUGGAAAAAACUCCUAAAACACCAAAAGGACCUAGUUCUGUAGAAGACAUUAAAGCAAAAAUGCAAGCAAGUAUAGAAAAAAGUGGUUCUCUUCCCAAAGUGGAAGCCAAGUUCAUCAAUUAUGUGAAGAAUUGCUUCCGGAUGACUGACCAGGAGGCUAUUCAAGAUCUCUGGCAGUGGAGGAAGUCUCUUUAAGAAAAUAGUU